rnacentral:lncRNA from 1 species
AGCUCUCAGGGAGCUGGGAGCUCAUCCCCAAACCCCUAAUUAACAGCAGUCAGAUGCAGUGGAGUGUGCGUGAGGACGUGUUGGGAGAAAGAGGAUGAGGGAUUUAGGACGGGCUGGGGUGGUCUGGUCUCCGCUAGGCUGAGCGGGUCUGCGAGGGUGGUGGGUGUGGAACGGGAGCCCUCCCCAGCCUGAAUUUUAAAGUCGGAGGAGCAGAGGAUGCGGUCAGCUCAAAGCAACUGCCCGUCUUCUGCGGCUUCACCUGCGCGCGCCGGAUCUGGCGGCUCCCAUUUCCACGUCUCCAUGGCAACAGAGGAGUAAAGACAUUCACUCAGUCAGAAUGCUGGGCUGACAAGGGCCAGGCAAACGUUUCAUUCCUGUUUUUGGAACGGGGGUGGGAGUGUCCAUUUUCGUGCCAAGAGCCAGAUUUUGUUCUGGAGAUCUGGGAAGCAGCGGCUACUUCAUCAGGCAAAAUCACCGCCCAUGACCUGGGGGAGCAGAGAGUGGCCCUCCUGGGGAGGAGGAAAGAUCCAGAAAAUCCCCUCUCUGCCGGGGAGAGCGAAAAGGGGAAAGACACUCAGAAACAUCCAAGGUUAUUGUUUGUCUGAGCUGAGCUCAGUUGUGUUUCAGCAAAAGACACACACCCUCUCCUCCCCGGACCUCAGCGCUGCCCCAGCCCAUGGACUCCUGGCUCUCUCACCCGCUUGCUCAUUCUUUCCCUUUCUGCCUCACCCCCCCCCCCCCCCCCCCCAAGAAGGGCCGUCUUUUCUCUUUGAUGUGCACUGCUGAAUCACAGCAAAUAAUGUCACACAACGUUUUCUCUGGAGACCAGUGCUCUGAGCCCUGAUUUUAUGCAGAUGGAGUCACAAUGCAUCACACUUCAAAAUGAUUCUAAGUUUAAUUUCCCCAAGAUAAAACAAUGAAAGAAAGAUACAUAUGGAGGAAGAAUCCCAUCCUUAGGGCCACUAAACGUGCCCAGGAUCUGGGAUGCUUGUCACUCUGUCCCCUUACCUGCAGCUACAUCGUGCUCAUAAUCCUUAGAUGUCGCUCCUUUGCUGAAGAGUGUCAUUGCCCACACUGCAGAAACUGCAUCGCUGGCCUGAAACGUGCUUGCCAGAGGGUAGCUUAUUCCACAGGCUUAGAACUAGGUCAUCAGGACCGCCUGAGGGCAAGCUAUGUAAAUGAACGUGCUGCAGGACACGGAAAUGUGAUAAUACAUUUUCCCAAACUUCUUGAAAAGUAAUAUCUUGUAAGCAUCUCAGUAUGGCAGUUCAUGAGUUUGGUAGAUGUAUUUGGAUGCUAUCAAUGCAGAGGCACUCACUCCCCAGCCUGGGCUGUCGUGUCCCACAGCCAAGUUCACCUCCGACCUGCAAAGACCAGUGUUGUCCUCACUUUGCGGGUGAUGCGUGAGGGGACGUGGCUGGUGAGGUCAGGUGGAGGUGGGUCUCGGGCUCGCUGUCCUGUGCUCUCCCACCUCUGCACACCUUGGCACAGGUGCCUGCCCGACUAGCAGAAGAGACUCUCCAGCAGAAGCUUUGUUUGGCGGUGGCAAGGUUUCCUCCCACAAUCCUGUUCUAGAAGCCCAGUAGGGAAGGAGGUUGUCAGUGGAGUCGUGGUUGAGUGAGUGGUGGGGGACAAAGCCUUUUCAUUCUCCUCUCUCCUCCCUCUUGAGUGAUCACCUGGCCGUGUGGACUCUGCUUGAGAACUGCCCCUGACAGCAUCCUCUUAGGCGGUUCGUUUGGGGUCUGUUUGAAGUUUCCUGCGGAGUCCAGCCCUGCCUUUGGUCUUUGAGUACUUACAUAGUGCAAAGCCCUGUGCCAGACCUGCCAGCCUCCCACCAGGUGGAUGACAGCUUGGGAGGUUCUCAGGGCUGCCCGCUCUGCAGUGUGGGGAGCGGUGGCGUCGGAUGGAUGGACUGGGCUCCUGGAUGCCCCCAGCUGUUUAAUGCACCAGGUCUCCCGCUGACCUCUCUGUGGGAUGAGUCCUCAGACAGCAUCCUUGGGAACUGUUGUCAGCUUUUUAGCUAUGAUAAUCAUGUUGUGCACAUACUAAAUAAAAGAGCCUGUAUAUUUUAGUGGUAUAUGCCAAAGUAUCUACAGAUGCGCAGAUAAAAUUAUUACAGAAUUAUCCAGGGAGGGGGUGUAGAUGUGGUAAUAGAUGAAACAGUCAUUUUGUUGACCCUGGGUAAUGAGUGCAUUGUUAUAUCUUUCUACUUAGGACAGCUUUGAAAUUUUCCAAAAGUUUAAAAUACGCAGAUAUAUUAUAGAUAAAUAGACAAACAUACAGGAAAAAAAAAUCUGUGUUGGGGCUUGCCUCAAGAUCACCCACUUUGCUUCUCUCAGUUUGUCCAUUCUGCUGCUCUCUGGCAGAGUCUCAUCCUUUCCCUGGGGUAGGUGAAGUCUUUGGACUUGCUUCUCUAAUGUGUUGACUAGGAUUCCACCCCUACUGGCAGCUUUGCCUGUACCUUUGACUUUGGCCUCUUCCACAGCUUAGAGUGCAGUAUGUUUUUCCACAAAGGUUUGUGGUGGAGACCUUACCAUCCAGCUCACUCUGGGAGAUGUGAACCAUUAAAAUUUUUUUACAGAGCUCACUUACUUUUAAGAUCUUCCAUUUUACAGAUGAGAAGACAGAGGCUAAGUAAACUGCCAAGGAGAACCAGGCAUGGGAACUCAGACAGUUUGACUCCAGGGAUGGCCUUUCCACCACUGCAUAUUAUAGGUGUUCUACUUGACAGUUGUAAAUGGUCAGGCUCAAUAGGAGGUACCCCCCCUGCCACCUCCCACUCAAGCAAUGGAGCAAUUGUCAUCAAUUUUUUUAUAGUAACUUUUUUCUGCAUAUGUUUUAUUUUAUGUUUUUGCUUUUAUUUAUUUAUUUUUUUUAGGGCCACGUGUGUGGCAUAUGGAAGUUCCCAGGCUAGGGGUCGAAUCGGAGCUGCAGCUGCCAACCUACACCACAGGUCACAGCAAUGCCGGAUCCUUAACCCACUGAGCGAGGCUAGGGCUCGAACCCACAUCCUUCUGGAAACUAGUCGGGUUCUUAACCCUGUGAGCCACAAUGGGAACUCUUCUGCAUGUGUUUUAGAUAACUAUAUUCAUAAUGACAAACAGUAUACAUUUUAAUGCUCUGAUUUUAAAAUGUUACAUCACAAGCAUUUCUUUGUAGUGCUUUUCUUUAUAGUAUCAUUCCAAAUGUGCUCUAGCUUUAAAGCAGUUCUUCCUCUUUUGUGGAACUCUCUGUUGUUUCCAAUUUUAUGGUGUUUGGUAUAAUCUGGGAACGAGUAUCUUGAGGCAUAUAGCUGCUUCUUCUUCUUUAUUUUUUUCUUUUCUGUAAAUGACCAGAGAUAAGAUUAUUGGAUCAAAGACUAAGUAAUCUAUGGCCCUGAAUCUUAUUGCCACUUGAAUUUCAGGUCAAUGGUUUUAUUUCAUAUCCUAUGCUUUUUUUGUUGUAUCCUCUCAAACACUGGGUGUCAACAAAUAAUUUCUUUCCUAUUUGAUACACAAACAAAGGUGAGGUUGGUUUAAUUUAAAUUGGUUUUAUUUCUAAGAAUGGCAGUUGUGCAAAUGGCUCUCUAGCUUCUAGGAAUCCCUUCAUAAUCCUCUGGAGUUGCCACCUCUCAGGCUGAGAAAAAUCUCUUUCACGUUCCUGAGGCUUGGUGAUAUCUUUUCUCUUAAAAAACCCACAGGUUAGUUCUAAUGAUAAAUUUAACAAAGACAUGCAAAUUGUAGAAAAUCUUAAAACAUGGAUACGUUUUUAAAAAGAGAACAAUCAGGAGCU